rnacentral:misc_RNA from 1 species
GACGAAGCAAAAGGAAACCAAAAAACUAGCUAAACUAAGUAAUUAAUCGACCAACCAACCCUGAAGAAGAAGAAGAAGAGCAAUCUGGGAGCUCCGCUCCACCGCCAUGGCGAUGCAUCCAUGGAGAUGAUGGAAGGAUCAGGCGCGGAAGCAACCGGCGAAGCGGGGGAGGUGGAGGUGGAUCUGGGUGUGGUGGUGGGAGGAGGAGUCGAGGUCGAGGAGGUGGGAGGCGGCGGCGCCGUGG